rnacentral:snoRNA from 1 species
UCUUUAUGAUGAUACGAAGUAUGCUGAGCAAAAUGUAGUUGGUCCUUCAUUUGCAACAGCUGAUGUCCAUUGUCCUUUCAAGACGGGGCUGAGAGAAGC